AUCCAGCUGACGAAUCUCAAAUAGGAUGAAAUGCACAUCGUGGAU
rfam:Schistosoma margrebowiei strain Zambia genome assembly, scaffold: SMRZ_scaffold0005878